CACCCGGAAGCCUCAGUUAUGGGGCGGGGAGGACCUGGGACCGCCGAAGCCCCUCCGGGCUCUGAGCGGACAGGAAGGAGCGAGCUGUGGGGCCGGGAUUCUGAGACUCAGAGAAAACCAUCCCGUUCUCAUCCCCCUGAGAGGCUGGCUUCUGGGAGAUGGUGCGUUCAGAGGAAUUCAAGCAAGAUGUAUCCAGGGACCUGCUUCCUGGUGAGGUGUGAAUCCCACUGGACCCGCCUCCCGAAGGGGACCUAUUUCAGAGUCGCCCCAGUUAGCACAAAGGAAACAAAACACACCAGAAAACCAAAAAACCAGGACAUACAGUUGAAUUUGAAUUUCAGAUAAACAAUGAAUUUUUUUGUAUAUGUCUCAUGCACUGUUUGGGAUGUGCUUAUGCUAAAUGUUGCCUGUAUAUCUGAGUGUUCUGCAUUGGAUGGGGCAACCCCACCUCAGACUUACUCUGAAGCCCUCCUGGACACAGCUACAAAGCGCCAGACCAAGGUGCAGCGCAGGCCAUCCAGCUUCAGAGCCCGUGUUUUCCCCUCACAGCACUGACUGGACCACAUCUGGCCCAGUGUCCAGUGGUUUGCAGUCACUGGCAGCAACUCUGAGGCAUGUAUCUGUUUCGCAGAUGAGGAAACAGAGGCAUGGAGGUAACUCAUCCCAGGACACACAGCUACAAAGUGCCAGACCAGGGUGCACACGCAGGCCAUCCAGCUUCAGAGCCCAUGUUUUCCCUCACAGCACUGACUGGACCACAUCUGGCCUAGUGUCCAGUUCUUCGCAGUCACUGGCAGUCUGACUCUUCCGACCUUCAGACUCCAGUAUUCAACCAGCAUGUUCCUGAGAACCCUCAAGCACAGUGGCCCUUCAAGUUCUUCCUCAUGCUGAUCUGCGCUCCCCAAGGACCCCAGUUUAGCUGGUGAGUCUUCAUCUAUUGAGUUGGCCAAGUUGUAAACCCAGGAGUCAUUUUCUUUUUCCUCACCCUCCUAUUUCCCCAGCUUCUCACAUGCCUGCCUCAUCCUUUUAUCCUUCUGAUGACUCUGAAGUGAGCAUGAUCAUCCCCACUUUACAGACAAGGAGGCUUUAACUGGGUCAAGGGG